rnacentral:rRNA from 1 species
UACAGAGGUGGCAAGCGUUGUUCGGAAUUACUGGGCGUAAAGGGCGCGUAGGUGGCCUUGUUAGUCAGACGUGAAAUCCCCAAGCUUAACUUGGGAACUGCGUCUGAUACUGCAAGGCUUGAGUUCGGGAGAGGGAUGUGGAAUUCCAGGUGUAGCGGUGAAAUGCGUAGAUAUCAGGAGGAACACCGAUGGCGAAGGCAGGUCUCUGGGCUGACACUGACGCUCAUGCACGAAAGCGUGGGGAGCAAACAGG